GAUAAUUUUAAAGAUAAUUAUCUCAAAUAAAAACAUAUCUUGAUCCUCAAAAUUUAACCACUAAUGUAAUUCAACCAUUAACUUUUUUUUAAAAUGUAAUGUUAAACACUUUUUUUAAUUUCUUUUUAUUUCUAAACUUGAAAUGCUUAGAAAAGGGGGGCAAAAAAGUUUCUCUAAUUUUACAAAAAGGAAAUUAUGAAUGAAUCACCCUCUUAUAUCAAAAGUUCAUAUAACUAGGAUUGGACAUCGGAUUGGAUUCCGAUACGUUUGAUUCGAUCCAAUCUGAACAAAUUCAAAUUAAAUUCAGAUUUUAUCCAAAAUCCGAUCGGAUGUAAUUUUUAUUAUUCAAUCGGAUUUGAUUCAAAACGGAUCAAAUUCAGAUUGAUCCGAACUCAGAUUGCACUACUUAUUGAAAAAUAAAAUAAUUUAAUAUAAAAGCCAAUUAACAAAAUCUUUCAGUUCGUCAUCAUUAUCUCUUCAAAUCAUCAAUGAAUCAAGCUCUAACACCUCUCAAUAAUAGCAACAAGAAUGGACGUCUCCUUCAACAUCAACCCAUCAUCGUCAAUUUAUCAUCAUUCGCCGAAGCCCACUCCCGUAAAUACAACCUCCUCCAUAUAACUAUAAGCAACUCAAGCUUCAACUUCCUCACCCUCUCCCUUUGCCUCUUCCCUCCCUCGUUGACUUCUUCCUCAUCCUCCUCCCCGUCCUCACCAUCCUCACCGCCGUCUCCUCCAUCUCCAUCUUUACCUCCUUCUCCAACAAGUACUACGCCAGCCACAUAGUUGCCAUCGUCCUCACCGGCAUCUUCCAAGGCUCUGUCUCUGUCACGAUACUCUUCUCAUGGCGCUGUCAUUCUCAAAUACACUGAUGCUCUCUCUAUUUUGAUCUUUUUCUUGGAAUGGUCAUGCUUGCAAUUAGGGUGUGUUUGGGAUUGCGGUUGGGCAGAAGUUACAGCACUAGAUUAUUUAAUAAAUACUAAUUGUUAUAACUUAAAAAUUAUGUUGAUAUAAUUUUUUAUUUAUAUGAUGUAAAAUUUAUUAUAUUUUUAAUAAUUUUAUUAAAAUUAUUAUUUUAAAU
rnacentral:lncRNA from 1 species